rnacentral:tRNA from 1 species
CGGGGCGUGGCGCAGUUUGGUAGCGCACCAGGCUGGGGGUCUGGUGGUCGCUGGUUCGAAUCCAGUCGCCCCGACCA